UACGGAAGGUCCGGGCGUUAUCCGGAUUUAUUGGGUUUAAAGGGAGCGCAGGCGGUCUUCUAAGCGUGUCGUGAAAUGUAGACGCUCAACGUCUGAAUUGCGGCGCGAACUGGUUGACUUGAGUGCGUUGGAGGCUGGCGGAACUCGUGGUGUAGCGGUGAAAUGCUUAGAUAUCACGAAGAACCCCGAUUGCGAAGGCAGCUGGCCGUGACGUUACUGACGCUCAUGCUCGAAAGCGCGGGUAUCGAAC
rnacentral:rRNA from 1 species